AUUGAACGCUGGCGGCAGGCCUAACACAUGCAAGUCGAACGGUAACAGGAAGAAGCUUGCUUCUUUGCUGACGAGUGGCGGACGGGUGAGUAAUGUCUGGGAAACUGCCUGAUGGAGAGGGAUAACUACUGAAAACGGUAGCUAAUACCGCAUAACGUCGCAAGACCAAAGAGGGGGACCUUCGGGCCUCUUGCCAUCGGAUGUGCCCAGAUGGGAUUAGCUAGUUGGUGGGGUAACGGCUCACCAAGGCGACGAUCCCUAGCUGGUCUGAGAGGAUGACCAGCCACACUGGAACUGAGACACGGUCCAGACUCCUACGGGAGGCAGCAGUGGGGAAUAUUGCACAAUGGGCGCAAGCCUGAUGCAGCCAUGCCGCGUGUAUGAAGAAGGCCUUCGGGUUGUAAAGUACUUUCAGCGGGGAGGAAGGGAGUAAAGUUAAUACCUUUGCUCAUUGACGUUACCCGCAGAAGAAGCACCGGCUAACUCCGUGCCAGCCGCCGCGGUAA
rnacentral:rRNA from 1 species